rnacentral:lncRNA from 10 species
CAGGCUGGUCUCAAACUCCUGAGCUCAGGCGAUCUGCCCGCCUCGGCCUCCCAAAGUGCUGGGAUUACGGGCGUGAGCCACUGCACCCGGCAAGUAUAAUUAUUUUCUUCAGUUUUAAUACUUCCAAACUAUUCAGAAAUAUUAUCAUUGACCCAUGCAGUACUCUCAAACAUUACUCUCAACUGCCCAAUCUCAUAUUCAGGUCGAAACAGUUCUUUAAGUUUUAUAAAAAUAUAGUCGUGGUGAAAAAAAGUACUGAAGAGUCAUGGCACCCUAGAUUAAAAUCUUGCCUUUGGCCGGG